AUUGAACGCUGGCGGCAGGCCUAACACAUGCAAGUCGAGCGGAUGAAGGGAGCUUGCUCCUGGAUUCAGCGGCGGACGGGUGAGUAAUGCCUAGGAAUCUGCCUGGUAGUGGGGGAUAACGUCCGGAAACGGGCGCUAAUACCGCAUACGUCCUGAGGGAGAAAGUGGGGGAUCUUCGGACCUCACGCUAUCAGAUGAGCCUAGGUCGGAUUAGCUAGUUGGUGGGGUAAAGGCCUACCAAGGCGACGAUCCGUAACUGGUCUGAGAGGAUGAUCAGUCACACUGGAACUAAGACACGGUCCAGACUCCUACGGGAGGCAGCAGUGGGGAAUAUUGGACAAUGGGCGAAAGCCUGAUCCAGCCAUGCCGCGUGUGUGAAGAAGGUCUUCGGAUUGUAAAGCACUUUAAGUUGGGAGGAGGGGCAGUAAGUUAAUACCUUGCUGUUUUGACGUUACCAACAGAAUAAGCACCGGCUAACUUCGUG
rnacentral:rRNA from 1 species